rnacentral:rRNA from 1 species
AGAGUUUGAUCAUGGCUCAGGACGAACGCUGGCGGCGUGCUUAACACAUGCAAGUCGAGCGGAAAGGCCCUUCGGGGUACUCGAGCGGCGAACGGGUGAGUAACACGUGAGUAACCUGCCCUGGACUUUGGGAUAACCCUCGGAAACGGGGGCUAAUACCGGAUAUGACCUGUCACUGCAUGGUGGUGGGUGGAAAGUUUUUCGGUCUGGGAUGGGCUCGCGGCCUAUCAGCUUGUUGGUGGGGUGAUGGCCUACCAAGGCGACGACGGGUAGCCGGCCUGAGAGGGCGACCGGCCACACUGGGACUGAGACACGGCCCAGACUCCUACGGGAGGCAGCAGUGGGGAAUAUUGCACAAUGGGCGGAAGCCUGAUGCAGCGACGCCGCGUGAGGGAUGACGGCCUUCGGGUUGUAAACCUCUUUCAGCAGGGACGAAGCGUGAGUGACGGUACCUGCAGAAGAAGCGCCGGCCAACUACGUGCCAGCAGCCGCGGUAAGACGUAGGGCGCGAGCGUUGUCCGGAUUUAUUGGGCGUAAAGAGCUCGUAGGCGGCUUGUCGCGUCGUCCGUGAAAACCUGGGGCUCAACUCCAGGCUUGCGGUCGAUACGGGCAGGCUGGAGUUCGGUAGGGGAGACUGGAAUUCCUGGUGUAGCGGUGAAAUGCGCAGAUAUCAGGAGGAACACCGGUGGCGAAGGCGGGUCUCUGGGCCGAUACUGACGCUGAGGAGCGAAAGCGUGGGAGCGAACAGGAUUAGAUACCCUAGUAGUCC